CAUAGUAAAUACUAGGGCUUCAAUUCAACCAUUCUUGUGGAGUGACGUGGAGGGACGUGUACGUCUUCUUCGCAGGAGAGGAGGAGGAGGCUGAGGCUGAACUGAGAUGGUGGAGUAAGGAUGCGCAGAGCGAGCGAGCGAGCUCCGUAGAGGGUGACGAUGACGGUGGAUACGAACUUCGUGCACAGGACGUGGGAUAAGUGGGCUUCCUCUUAUGUUGGGUCUGGUGAUGGGCAACCGUUGAAGGCAGCUUUGCUACUCAAUCAUGACCCAACUGGACCAUCUCGAUUGUUGUCUACCAUUGCCAAACAAGAAGGAAUAAAGGCCGAUCCCAUUCAAAUGAGGCCAUUUCUUGAUUUUCUCAAAUGUGGAAAGCUCCAGACAGGGACUUUUUUUAUCGGGCCAAACCAAUAUCUUGUCACAUCAAUCCAUGAGAAUUGGUUCUGCGCAAGAUGCAUGAACGCAUCAAAUCCUGCCGGCGAAGGGGCGAUUGUCAUGCAAACAACAGCUUUCAUCUUGGUGGCACUGUGAGCAUUCGUUUUAAGAAUUUUAGCAGAUAGAAAGAAUUGGUUUAGGACUUGAGUGAAAGCAUACUAUUCAGUUUUAAGCAAUCAGAUAUUGUUGAUAAUGCUUUAGCGUGCAUUUCCUCCAUUUGUGGCAGGUAUGAUGGUUCAAUUGGAGCGGCAUCUAGUGCGAUAAUGGCUGCUGAUCAGUUUGCGUGGCAGUUAAUUCGAAGAAAUCUUUGACCUGUUGUAAUGGAGUUGAAUUGUAAGAAUCGAGAUUUUCUCUUGUUUUUCUGUUUUGAUAUGUAAAUCUCAAAGAGCUCAAAACUACGUUCACAUGCAAGUUCAAUGGUUUUUUAUUUC